rnacentral:rRNA from 1 species
AACGAACGCUGGCGGCAGGCCUAACACAUGCAAGUCGAGCGCCCUGCUUGCAGGGAGCGGCGGACGGGUGAGUAACGCGUGGGAACGUGCCUUUUAGUUCAGGAUAGCCACUGGAAACGGUGAGUAAUACUGGAUACGCCCUAAGGGGGAAAGAUUUAUCGCUAAAAGAUCGGCCCGCGUUGGAUUAGCUAGUUGGUGGGGUAAUGGCCUACCAAGGCGACGAUCUAUAGCUGGUCUGAGAGGAUGAUCAGCCACACUGGGACUGAGACACGGCCCAGACUCCUACGGGAGGCAGCAGUGGGGAAUAUUGGACAAUGGGGGCAACCCUGAUCCAGCCAUGCCGCGUGAGUGAAGAAGGCCCUAGGGUUGUAAAGCUCUUUCAGGUGUGAGGAUGAUGACAGUAGCACCAGAAGAAGCCCCGGCUAACUUCGUGCCAGCCGCCGCCGUAACAC